UAAUACGAAGGGGGCUAGCGUUGCUCGGAAUUACUGGGCGUAAAGGGCGCGUAGGCGGCGCUGCAAGUCAGGCGUGAAAUUCCUGGGCUUAACCUGGGGACUGCGCUUGAGACUGUGGUGCUAGAGGUCAGAAGAGGGUCGUGGAAUUCCCAGUGUAGAGGUGAAAUUCGUAGAUAUUGGGAAGAACACCGGUGGCGAAGGCGGCGACCUGGUCUGAUACUGACGCUGAGGCGCGACAGCGUGGGGAGCAAACAGGAUUAGAUACCCUGGUAGUCCACGCCGUAAACGAUGUGCGCUGGAUGUUGGGGCUCUUAGAGCCUCAGUGUCGUAGCUAACGCGGUAAGCGCACCGCCUGGGGAGUACGGCCGCAAGGUUG
rnacentral:rRNA from 1 species